rnacentral:piRNA from 1 species
ACUUGUAGGUAAUGAAGGGACGGCC